CUGAAGUUCUUUCAAUUACAAUUGGUAUAAAUCUGUGGUUUGCUCCACAGAUUUCUGAGCAUUGUCCAAAGAAUAAUCCAGGUCGAUUUAUUGUGAAUGUUCCUUGAUUUAACCGACCUGGCGUUGCAUCAAUUUUAACCCCUAAUGCAGGAACUGCUCAUGAGUGUAGAACAUCUGAUGCUCUUGUUAAUACUCGUACUUCUGUAUUUAUUGGUAGGAUUGUUCGGUUAUCUACAUCUAGUAGUCGGAAUCCAUCAUUUUCUAGGUCUUGUUCUGGUGUUAUAUAAGUGUCAAAUUAACGUCUAUGAAGUCUGAAUAUUCAUAUCUUCAAUAUCAUUGUCGUCCAAUGGUUUUAAUUGUAAUUAUUGCAUCUACUGAAUCAUCAAGUAAAUAUAAUAGUCGUAAUGAUGGAAGGGCAAUAAAAAUUAAUGUAAUUGCUGGUAAAGCUGUUCAGGUUGUUUCAAUUAAAUGUCCAUGAAGUAUAUUACGGUUAGUAUAGGCAAUAAAUAAUAUAUAA